UAGAUUCUUACACAAGCAUUUCUUAAUAAAAUGAAGAAGUCCUCUUUAGUGUCAUUAACUGUUUUAACUCAUUUCAGGCCACUGUAAGUGUUCAUUUUGAAUCAAUUGUGAGCUUACAUUGUCAAAGUUUACAUAAUGAAAUUACUAACCAAAAUGCUAUUUACUGACAUCUUAUACAAGGGCCUUGGUGAAUCCUCUUGUCUGUAGUGUAUAAUUCAGACAUUAAUAACAGAUGGGAGUAUUCCACCAUCCAACCCAAUGGACUUUGAUUUUAAAUUUUCAAUCUAUUUUUAAGGCCAAAACAUCUUUUUAAAUGUCUAUUUCCAUACAUGGGGGGAGGGCCCUUUUGUAAUGCAGGAAAUUUAAUUCUAUUGUGAAUUGAAGAAAGAAUAUCAUUGUAUUUAGCUGCAUAAUAAAUAUGUACUCAUCUACAAACUUGUGUUAUAAAAUUGAAUUAUGUUUAAAAUAUAAUAAGAUGAUCUGAGAUUGGUUGAAAUAGGACAGUUAUUACAUUAGUUUAGAACAGUUUUUAGGGAAAUUCCCUGCUAUAUAAGAGACUGUUGCUUUCUUGGACAAUUUUAAGCAUAUGUUCUUCUUUUGGUAUGAACUACGUUAUGAACUACAUAUAAAAAGAAAAGAUGGAAUAAAUAUAUUCCCUCUUUAAUGCAUUUGUUUAUGCUUGCAGCUCUUUUCUUAAAAUAGAUGUCUAACACUGAGAUUUAUCACAGCAUUCACAUAAGCUCUCUCUCUCUCUCUCUCUCUCUCUCUCUCUCUCUCUCUCUCUCUCUCUCUCUCUCUCUCUCUUUCUCUCUCCUCUAAUUUUUUUGUUUGACGGCCAGGAAAUUAAAAACAUACUGUUUGCCUAUCUGUGUACACCUGUGAAUGCGGGCCUGCAUCUGUAUGUGGUUGGAUCUGACAAUUUUCUAAUUGAAGAAAUUUAUAAAACAAAUCAAAUUUCAAAACUUAUCCAUGUCUAUAACCAAUGGGUUUCCUGUGGCAAGUGGUACUGCAAAUAGUACCAGUCUUUCUGUGAGUCCCUAGGCAAAGAUAGGUAAAGUGUGUUGAGCUUUGUGCCCGCCAAUUGCAUACAAGUAUAAACUCUUCAUUUCCCUUCACACUGGGAGUGUAGGAUGAGAAUAAUUGUUCUUUUGAUGUCAUAAAACUGUAAGGAGGAAUGGGGUUGUGAAAAGCAAAAGACUGAGGACAGCUCUUGGCACUGGACAAGCACUUAGUGCACUUUAACCUUUGUUAUGGCUGAUGCUAUUUUAUCCUUGUCAUAAAUGCCUACACUGUGUAACAGUUUUCAUUGGGCAUUGCUAAAAUUCUAUGACAAGACUGAGAGGACAGUGUUUAGCAGGGAUUAAUGCUGAGUAGACAAACAUCUUAUAGACCAACCAAGGUGUGCUAUCAAUAACACAUUCAUUAAUAAGAGAUUGGCACAUUUUAAAAAUCACGUUUUAUACAAAAUUAUGGUACUUUUUACAUUAAAAUACUUUGAAAAGCAACAAAUUUGCUUCAGUGUGAGUUUAAGAACAAAUUUAAUUUUAGUUUAUGAAUGAGUUUGCUGUGUAUACAUGGACAUGCCUCUGGAGGCCAGAAGAGGGCACGUGAUACCCUGGCACUGGUGUUUCAGAGUUGUAGCUCUUUGGGGCUAGAAGUAAAACCCCAUUCCUUUGCAAGAAUAAGAAGUACUCACUCGUCCUGCCUUCUCUCCAGUCCCAAUGGUAUAAUUUUUUUAUGUGUCAAGCUCAGAAUCAAUGGAGUUGAUAACAUUAAGUGAAAAAUAUGCAUUUAUUCUCUUUAAACUGUACAUUGCUGUGUUUGUAAAAAUGGAGGUUAAAGAUUAAGAACAAUUAAUUGCUGAACUCUACUUUUUGGCUAAUAUUUAAACUGUUUCUAAAGGAAUUGAAACAAUUAACCUUCUUCAUUAUGUCAAAAGUUUUAACAUUACAAAGCACUUACUGAUCCUAGUAUAAAAGCAAAAAUUAAUUAAACUAAAAACUCCAAGCAAGGCCAGAGUUCCUCACAUGUUCAGAGUACAUAUGAAGAUAAAAGCCAAAUAGAAAAAAAGAAAUUAAUUAGAUGUCCAAACUGUUCAAUGUAUGUUCAUGUAUAGUGGCAAAAGACACCAGUGCUUUCACUGGAACUGGCCUCUACUCCAUUUCAUUAAAUAUUUUAAAUGGAUUCCAGGAGAGGCCAGCGGAGCUCGCCAGUUCCUCACAGCCAUCCAUGUGAAACUUGUGUUCUAUAAGAGUGAAAAAGAACAUUCACAAAGAUUAUAGUCUCAUUUGAAAAUAAAUUAAAAAAAACUUUCCAGUGUGUAGUUAUAAAAGGAUGAUUUACAGUUGGUUUAAUAAUGACUGUAUUUUAAGAAGACUAUGGGCAGGAGGAGUUUAUGAGCUACAAAGAAUAUCCAGUAUUGUAUUUUAUGAUUCUCUGUGACAUUGCUAAUCUUUUUGUUCUUUAGUUUUAUAUCCUUUGUAAUGCUUCAUUAUAAUAUUUAAACAGGAGAAAAAACAUGAAAACCAUAUUUUUUUCAAAAACAUGUACACUGGAUAGGAAAUGCAGAGCCAAAGAGCUCAUUCCAAGUUCCUGCAGUUCUGGUCCCUUCAGCAACCACAAUGGGAUGGAUGGACUCAGUGAAUAGGGAAACACAGAACAGCAGUCUUAGGAGGACUGGAUCGACCUGUUUGUAGUUUGUUUUAUCCAAGCACAAGGUUCAUUGUCAUUUAUCUUUAACUCCCACCUAUCCUUCCCCGUUCCCUCAAUGCCAUCCUAAGAAACACUCACUUAAAAGAAAAAGUAUAUAGGAGCUCCAUAAUGGGCAGGGAAAUGUUUCCUCCAUGUAAUUAAAAAACUUCUUAUCUUCAUGGAUCUUACUCUGUUAAAAGGAGCCAACAGAAACAAUCUGGAACCUGGGACAUUGUGGAUGAUUGAUCGGACGGGUUCUUCGGGACUCAUCACCACAUAUAACAAUUACUUUGUAGUAAAUCUUUGGAAGAUUUCCAGGAGUAAAACACACAGUGACUGAGUGUUGAGUCUGUACUUUUGAUUCCUUCUCGUAUAUAUAUGUGUUGUUUUAUUAAAGGAAAAUGAAGCUUCUCAAUGCUGACGUUUUAAACACUAAACUGUCUCAGAGACAGUCACUAAACAGUUGUCAAAAGCUUCAUUUCAUUUUUUUUAAUCGAUGUAACCAUUACCUACAUCUCCCCAGAAUAUAUGAUUUACCAUUAUUUCAUUGAAAGGGUAGAGAAGCCAUGCAGAAAUCCGAGUUAAUGAAAGCAGAAACUAUUUCCUAUUUUCCUAUAUAAUUAUAUGCUAGCAAAUUAAAUAUACUCAAGUACUUAGUGGCAGUGUGUUAGGAAAGAUACAUGCUACCUAAAUAUGGCCAUGGAUAUCUAUUGCACUGAAGUGGAGCACUUUUCCUUGCCCCAUCCCUCUGACCUGCAAAGGGAAAUUAUGUAAGUGCAGGGCCAUCUAAGGAGCUCUUUCUCUUCAAACUCAUGCCUUUAUGGAGGUUUGAAAAUUCACACAGCUGUCAGGAUUUGUGCUUAUACUUCCCUCUUAACUCUUACAAACUUUUCUGUGGUUAUAGUCUCCCCACACAGGGCAUCAACUGUUAUAGUCUCAGUGUAGCCCUAAUAUGACAGCCCCUUCCCCAGCCUUUAGAGCCAGACCCUUGCUUAGCUCCAGUUCUCUUUUACUUCAUCUUUGGCCAUUCAUUUCUUGUGAUCAAUCUUUUUUUUUUUUUUUUUGGCUCCUCCCACCAACACUGUUCGUUUUAGUUUUAGUCCACUCCUUUGGAACAUGACCUUUCCUACCCAGCUGGACUGCCCUUUUCUUUCUGUGUUUCCAGAUACAUGUCAACACAGUGCCUAAUCACCCUCCUUUCCUUAGCACACAAAUUAGGAUUUGACACAAGGGUGGUAUGUGAUAUCCAUUUUUGAAUGGUACUGCAUGAAUUUGAGUGUUUUGCAUAAAUAACAGAGCGUAGCUUUUUCUGACAAUUCACGGUAGUAGAAUUAGCAUCUCUCCUUGAAUCUUUAUUUAAGAACUCCUGGAUCAAGUGAGGUGGGUGUGAAUAUCUAGACGGAAACCCAGAUGGACUGAAGCCUCAGUAUCCACCAUCCAUUAGGUACCAGCAGGUUUGGUGGGGCUUUCAAAUGCCCAUAUACCAAGGACAGAUUCCUAUGCAUUAUUAGUAUUAGAAAUUGAUAGAAUAUUUAAGAGAAAGAAACUAACUGGAGAGAAAAAAAAAGGGUAUUGGAUUACCAGUCAUGUGUUCAGGAAUUCUCUUUUCUCUUUCUUCUUUAUCUGGUCAUCAUGGGGCAAGUAGCUACACCCCACCCCUGCAUUCCCAACAACCAUACAUCAAAGACCCCAAAAUAGCAACAUGGUCAACUGACCAUCGACUGAAACCUUCAAAAGAAGAAGGGAAAAUAAUUUUUCUUCUUUUAGGUCAAUUAUCUUAGAUAUUCUACCACAGUUGCAGAAAGGUUAGUUUUCUUCACCUUAAAAACCCAUUCCCAAUGAAGGACCCAAGGAGUUGAAGGGGUUUACAGCUGUAUAGGAGGAACAACAAUAUGAACUUAGAGAUCGAUGUGGGAUCUUUAACUUGUGUUCUUUGUAAUCAGGCAGUCUGAAGCUUGCCUUGGCACAGAGCGGAGGAAGUGGUAAGUAAAGGGGAUAACAUUUGAAAUGUAGAUAGAGAAAAAUAUCUAAUAAAAUAAAAUAAAGUAAAAUAAAAUUAUAUAAAAUACUAUUCCCAUUGGAUUUUCUAUACUGUGGUUCAUGGCUUUGAAGAGUGGAAGAGCUUUGAUUCUCUGGUAUAUGAAACACAUAAGCCUCAAAUAACUCCAUACAAGCACUUUGAGCACAGCUUGACACAGUGGCCUAGCCAGAAACAGAGAAUUGGGAACUGUGUAGGUCUACAAGCCAGAAGUCCCAACGAUUGCUAAAAAGUUUUCCCAACUCUUCCCUUGUUGAUAUUGAUAAUAAAACCUGACCUUCCAAGUAGUUAAAUUUUGUUUUAUAUCAAAUUACUGUUGCAUCAUUUACUGAUCUAGGAUGUAUUUCUUAUUUUUCUCUCUGAUGCAAUAUGAGAACAGGACAUGUCAAAUGAAGGGUGGCAGUCCUUUGGAGGCCCAGUCAUGAAAGCCAAUACAUUUGCAUCACACAUAGUCACUCUUCUGUAGCUAGCUCUUGUCUGAAGAUAGGUUUACUGUGAUCAUGGAUAUUUUUAAGCGGGGUAUUUUGAUCUUCAGACUACAAAAUGGUAUAGCAAAACAAACUGUUAUUAACUCAAAACCUCUUAUAGGCACUGGAUCGUACUAUACAGCUAGUGAAGAGAAAACUCUACCUAGGAGUAGCUUCCUGCGACAACAGUAAACACAGCCCCAACUUGCCCUGGAUAAUUACCGAGGAGAUCUAUGUGGGAUCUUUAGCUUGUGCUGUUUGUAAUCAGGCAGUCUGAAGCUUGCCUUGGCUCAGAGCAGAGGAAGUGGUAAGGAGACAGACCUGUAAUUAUCAACAGCAGGUGCCCAUAAUGGAAUGCCAAAGACAUGGUCAAAGAGGCAAACACCACUUCAGCAAAGACAGUCAAUUUAGACUCAAAGGCAUUCAAAGUU
rnacentral:lncRNA from 1 species